rnacentral:rRNA from 1 species
UACGAAGGGGGCUAGCGUUGUUCGGAAUUAUUGGGCGUAAAGGGCGCGUAGGCGGUGCGGUAAGUCACCUGUGAAAACUCUGGGCUCAACUCAGAGCCUGCAGGCGAAACUGCCGUGCUUGAGUGUGGGAGAGGUGCGUGGAAUUCCCGGUGUAGCGGUGAAAUGCGCAGAUAUCAGGAGGAACACCGGUGGCGAAGGCGGGUCUCUGGGCCGAUACUGACGCUGAGGAGCGAAAGCGUGGGGGAGCGAACAGG